GCUGGGUUAGCUCAACUGGUAGAGCAGCUGAUUUGUAAUCAGCAGGUUGGGGGUUCGAUUCCCUUACCCAGCU
rnacentral:tRNA from 1 species